UGCGUGGACAACAUAUUAUCCUGCGAAAAGUCAAAACGUAGAAUUAAAUGAACAACCAAAUUACCAAAAACUAUUCAACUAUGGAACUGCCUAUGACAUGCAAAUUAUUUUAGCUACAUAGAGAAGGAACACCAAUAGAAAGUCCUUUGAUGCCCCUCAAGUGAAUGUUACAAUCAAUGUUUAAAAUAGCCAGAUAUAGCUUCAGCUAUAGCGGGCUAUAGCAUCUGGAAAGGACGAACACUAGGAUAAUUAGCUUUUAGCGCUAAGCGAUCAGUUCCACUAAUAGGACCAAUUAGCAUUCUAAAUCAGCUAAAUGAACGGUGACUUAGCGCCAUAGGCCAUAGCCCUUAUCCCAUAAUCAGGUAUGGGCCGUGGGCCUUCUCAAAAUAUCCCCUUGUGGUGGCCCAAAACUACUAUGAGACAUGAGCCACCCUACCCCAAUCCCCCACUCGACCUCUCCACAGUAAAGCGGCAGGACAGCGGCUGUGGAUUCAUCGGGAUGGCGUCGGCGGAGGACAAGGACAUGGCAGAGCUGGUGAGUGCCCUCCACCCUGCAUGCACUCCUCUCGACCACUCCCAGAAAAAACAGCAGAGCAGUGGUAUCUGCAGACCCACCGGGCCGGUAGCAACUGCAUAUUCGUCAAAGGUGUCAACAGAUGAUAAGGACAUGGCAGAGGUGGUGAGUG
rnacentral:misc_RNA from 1 species